rnacentral:rRNA from 1 species
GAAACGGGCGCUAAUACCGCAUACGUCCUGAGGGAGAAAGUGGGGGAUCUUCGGACCUCACGCUAUCAGAUGAGCCUAGGUCGGAUUAGCUAGUUGGUGGGGUAAAGGCCUACCAAGGCGACGAUCCGUAACUGGUCUGAGAGGAUGAUCAGUCACACUGGAACUGAGACACGGUCCAGACUCCUACGGGAGGCAGCAGUGGGGAAUAUUGGACAAUGGGCGAAAGCCUGAUCCAGCCAUGCCGCGUGUGUGAAGAAGGUCUUCGGAUUGUAAAGCACUUUAAGUUGGGAGGAAGGGCAGUAAGUUAAUACCUUGCUGUUUUGACGUUACCAACAGAAUAAGCACCGGCUAACUUCGUGCCAGCAGCCGCGGUAAUACGAAGGGUGCAAGCGUUAAUCGGAAUUACUGGGCGUAAAGCGCGCGUAGGUGGUUCAGCAAGUUGGAUGUGAAAUCCCCGGGCUCAACCUGGGAACUGCAUCCAAAACUACUGAGCUAGAGUACGGUAGAGGGUGGUGGAAUUUCCUGUGUAGCGGUGAAAUGCGUAGAUAUAGGAAGGAACACCAGUGGCGAAGGCGACCACCUGGACUGAUACUGACACUGAGGUGCGAAAGCGUGGGGAGCAAACAGGAUU